GCCUGGAGAAAUGGGGCGGAGGAAACCUUUUCUCCUUCUCUCCCAUGAAGCUGAAUGUUGGGCAGAUGAAAGGAAGGGCUUCUUCAGGCAGCACGGAAAUUAAACUCUGGAACUCCUUCCUGCAGGACCCAGGGAUGACUCACGCGGGAGGAGAAGGCUCUGGAGAGCUCCUAGCCAGGAUGGCUCUGCCCUGCCUCUACAGUUGGACACAGAAAUGAUCCUGAAUCCCUACUGCUGGGAGCCACAGGACAGGGCAGCUGCUCUCUUGCUGAGAUCCUGCUAGCUGGUUUCCCAUAAUAGCCACCCUUCACAGGAUGCUGGACUAGGGGGGCCUCUGGCUCUUCUGAUGUGUCUUGUGGUCAGUGACUUUCCAUGGACUGAGGCUGGGAAGUUUGGGAAGGAGAGAGAAAGGGUCCCACAGAUUCCAUGCUCUCUGGUCUUCUUCCUAUUUCACACACGACUUCCCUCAGAGCCACGGAGGAAACUGGAUCCCUUUAUAAAUAAGUGACAGCAGGGGGGCCUCCACUGCUUGGGUGCCCAGCAGCUUAGCAAAAGAAAAAGUGUGCUCCCAGCCCUUAGUCUAGGCCUUAUUACAUGAGCCCUGUUCCACAGCAUUUGAUAGUUUCAUUUACAUACAUUCAUUCGAAAUAAGAUGGGGUAUGUACUCUUUUUCAUUGCUGUUUGUAUUAUAGUUUAUAAUUUUUGUAAAGUGAUAUGUGCAUGCAGGUCAUCGUCUGUAAAAUUUUAUUUUCAGUUUAUGAAGCAAUUCUACAUCCUCCCACCACGCUGACGAAGAAUUUUACGAAACAGUAGUCAAUAUCCGGAAUAACUGUUCAGUGUUGGACAUUAUAUUUGCUGAAUACACAAAGCUUCACAACUUGUCUUUCAUCGAACAAAGUCUGGUACCUCGCUUCAUUUAAAGAUUUCCAGAGAC